UUCUGUGACCCUGGGUACCCAUUUAGCACUCAUGAAUGAAAAAGAUGAAUGCAUUCUUCGAAUAAGUAACUCACAUCAGAACUAUCGAACGUGAUUCAGUAGAUAUACGUACAUUAUUCUGUAAACGGAACGCUGAUCAAUUUUUCUUGUGAAAAGAUAAGUCAAGUCAGUGUAAACUAGAGAGUUUUGACGUACUGACGUACUUAUUCAUCGAUUUAGAAAUAUUAUUCCAUCUUUUUCGUGAUUUGUUGCCUGCAUUAAAAAACGGUACAUUUACCAAUUUUAAUUUUGAAAAAACAUCUCACAAAAUGGGGAUUGAAGACGAUUUAAAAAACGUUUGGUGUGACGUUGCAAAUACCGUGUCCAAGGCUGCAGAUGCUGUGUCUGAAGCUGCAGAAAAAGUUGUUCAUGUUUUUGAUGGACCUAAUGAGAAAGAAAGAGCAGCUACAUGUAAAGAGUUCGUUACUUUAGGACAGUCACCAUCACAGGAAACUUCGCCAAACGAAGAACCCACCGACUCAACCGAAGCUGCAUGAAAACGAUUCAAAUCAGAGCGAUCAAGAUGAAAGCGAAUAAUCAGGUUGCAGAAAAUGGGAGAAAAAUUAUCAAGAUUAUUUUAUACUUGUACUCAUACUUACUUAUUCUAAACUGAUUUAUUCAUAAUAAUUGUACGAUUUUUAUUUAUUUUUAGCUGCAUUUUUGUAUGAUUUUUCACCCAUAAUAAACUUACUCGUAUUUUAAA